UUUUUUUAAAUCACCACCACACCUUAAAUGCACGAUUGUACAUUUCAAGAGUGCUCAAUCACUAGAUAAAUUUGAAGGUCGACACUCCAAUUAUGUUAUUAAAGAAUAUUGAUCAUUCUCUAGGAUUGUGCGAUAGAACUACGUUUUAGAAGCUAAGAUAUUGCCAGGUAGUAAUUCUGGCCAAAAUGUGUUGAUUUCUAAAAUGUCUCUUACUCCAUUAGAUCCAUGACUACCAUUCAAGUUUGAACGAAGACAAUUUCCUCUUAUUAUUUUGUAUGCCAUGACAAUCAAGAAGGAUAAAGGACAAUCCGANUGCCAUGACAAUCAAGAAGGAUAAAGGACAAUCCGAGCGUAGGGCUUUUGUAAAGAACCCAUCUCAUAGACAUUACGUGUUUCAAGAGCAAAAAGUCGGAGUUGAUUGCCGAUUUUAGCAUAUAAAAAAGAUAAUACUCCAUUCGUCCCAAUUUUUAGUAUCAAACUUUCCUUUUUUUUGGUAGUUCCACAUU
rnacentral:lncRNA from 1 species